GAUGAAGAACGUAGCGAAAUGCGAUAAGUAAUGUGAAUUGCAGAAUUCAGUGAAUCAUCGAAUCUUUGAACGCACAUUGCGCCCGCCAGUAUUCUGGCGGGCAUGCCUGUCCGAGCGUCAUUUCAACCCUCGAACCCCUCCGGGGGGUCGGCGUUGGGGAUCGGCACUUACCUGCCGGCCCCGAAAUACAGUGGCGGUCUCGCCGCGGCCUCUCCUGCGCAGUAGUUUGCACACUCGCACCGGGAGCGCGGCGCGUCCACGGCCGUAAAACAACCCAAACUUCUGAAAUGUUGACCUCGGAUCAGGUAGGAAUACCCGCUGAACUUAAGCAUAUCAAUAAGCGGAGGA
rnacentral:misc_RNA from 1 species